GCCGAGGUGGUGGAGUUGGUAGACACGAGGGACUUAAAAUCCCUUGGCCGUAAAGGCCGCGCGGGUUCGAAUCCCGCCCUCGGCA
rnacentral:tRNA from 1 species